UAGGGCGUUUAGUAUUUGGUCGUAGACCCGAAACCAGGUGAUCUACCCUUGGUCAGGUUGAAGUUCAGGUAACACUGAAUGGAGGACCGAACCGACUUACGUUGAAAAGUGAGCGGAUGAACUGAGGGUAGCGGAGAAAUUCCAAUCGAACCUGGAGAUAGCUGGUUCUCUCCGAAAUAGCUUUAGGGCUAGCCUCAAGUGAUGAUUAUUGGAGGUAGAGCACUGUUUGGACGAGGGGCCCCUCUCGGGUUACCGAAUUCAGACAAACUCCGAAUGCCAAUUAAUUUAACUUGGGAGUCAGAACAUGGGUGAUAAGGUCCGUGUUCGAAAGGGAAACAGCCCAGACCACCAGCUAAGGUCCCAAAAUAUAUGUUAAGUGGAAAAGGAUGUGGCGUUGCCCAGACAACUAGGAUGUUGGCUUAGAAGCAGCCAUCAUUUAAAGAGUGCGUAAUAGCUCACUAGUCGAGUGACACUGCGCCGAAAAUGUACCGGGGCUAAACAUAUUACCGAAGCUGUGGAUUGUCCUUUGGACAAUGGUAGGAGAGCGUUCUAAGGGCGUUGAAGCAUGAUCGUAAGGACAUGUGGAGCGCUUAGAAGUGAGAAUGCCGGUGUGAGUAGCGAAAGACGGGUGAGAAUCCCGUCCACCGAUUGACUAAGGUUUCCAGAGGAAGGCUCGUCCGCUCUGGGUUAGUCGGGUCCUAAGCUGAGGCCGACAGGCGUAGGCGAUGGAUAACAGGUUGAUAUUCCUGUACCACCUAUAAUCGUUUUAAUCGAUGGGGGGACGCAGUAGGAUAGGCGAAGCGUGCGAUUGGAUUGCACGUCUAAGCAGUAAGGCUGAGUAUUAGGCAAAUCCGGUACUCAUUAAGGCUGAGCUGUGAUGGGGAGAAGACAUUGUGUCUUCGAGUCGUUGAUUUCACACUGCCGAGAAAAGCCUCUAGAUAGAAAAUAGGUGCCCGUACCGCAAACCGACACAGGUAGUCAAGAUGAGAAUUCUAAGGUGAGCGAGCGAACUCUCGUUAAGGAACUCGGCAAAAUGACCCCGUAACUUCGGGAGAAGGGGUGCUCUUUAGGGUUAACGCCCAGAAGAGCCGCAGUGAAUAGGCCCAAGCGACUGUUUAUCAAAAACACAGGUCUCUGCUAAACCGUAAGGUGAUGUAUAGGGGCUGACGCCUGCCCGGUGCUGGAAGGUUAAGAGGAGUGGUUAGCUUCUGCGAAGCUACGAAUCGAAGCCCCAGUAAACGGCGGCCGUAACUAUAACGGUCCUAAGGUAGCGAAAUUCCUUGUCGGGUAAGUUCCGACCCGCACGAAAGGCGUAACGAUUUGGGCACUGUCUCAACGAGAGACUCGGUGAAAUCAUAGUACCUGUGAAGAUGCAGGUUACCCGCGACAGGACGGAAAGACCCCGUGGAGCUUUACUGUAGCCUGAUAUUGAAAUUCGGCACAGCUUGUACAGGAUAGGUAGGAGCCUUUGAAACGUGAGCGCUAGCUUACGUGGAGGCGCUGGUGGGAUACUACCCUAGCUGUGUUGGCUUUCUAACCCGCACCACUUAUCGUGGUGGGAGACAGUGUCAGGCGGGCAGUUUGACUGGGGCGGUCGCCUCCUAAAAGGUAACGGAGGCGCUCAAAGGUUCCCUCAGAAUGGUUGGAAAUCAUUCAUAGAGUGUAAAGGCAUAAGGGAGCUUGACUGCGAGACCUACAAGUCGAGCAGGGUCGAAAGACGGACUUAGUGAUCCGGUGGUUCCGCAUGGAAGGGCCAUCGCUCAACGGAUAAAAGCUACCCCGGGGAUAACAGGCUUAUCUCCCCCAAGAGUUCACAUCGACGGGGAGGUUUGGCACCUCGAUGUCGGCUCAUCGCAUCCUGGGGCUGUAGUCGGUCCCAAGGGUUGGGCUGUUCGCCCAUUAAAGCGGUACGCGAGCUGGGUUCAGAACGUCGUGAGACAGUUCGGUCCCUAUCCGUCGUGGGCGUAGGAAAUUUGAGAGGAGCUGUCCUUAGUACGAGAGGACCGGGAUGGACAUACCUCUGGUGUACCAGUUGUCGUGCCAACGGCAUAGCUGGGUAGCUAUGUGUGGACGGGAUAAGUGCUGAAAGCAUCUAAGCAUGAAGCCCCCCUCAAGAUGAGAUUUCCCAACUUCGGUUAUAAGAUCCCUCAAAGAUGAUGAGGUUAAUAGGUUCGAGGUGGAAGCAUGGUGACAUGUGGAGCUGACGAAUACUAA
rnacentral:rRNA from 1 species